CGCCGAAUUUGGCAGUCUGCUAUGCCGCUUAGGAUUUCUUUCUUGUCUGUUGUUGAAAUUCCGCUGGCUGGAGAGAGGCUGCUUGCUUUCAAGGCUUGUCUCGAUGCUACUGCUUGCUAAAUUCUGAGGGUGAUUAGUGAUCUCGGCAGGGGAAAAUUGAUGUUCUGUUUAGCCCAGUUCAGCUUAAGGAGGAGUGCAUAUAUAGGAGGUCUUCAGUGCUUUGUCUUAUAGCACCAUUCAUGUGAGGAAGCAUAAUCUAGUCUGUAUCAUGAAAGGUUAAUUUUGCUGCCGCUGGUUGGAUUUUGGGGCCUGCAACAGUUUACAUCUAGACAUUUUUCUCCAUUUUUGCAUUUUAUUUUUGCACCAUCUCUGUUUGCCUGUAUAUAUACCUGGAUGUGCUAAUAAUCAGUUUGACUGUAUCAUUUCAGCUAGUUAAAAUUUUCUCGGUUCAUCUAGUUAAAUUGUCCUAGUUCCAAUAUAUUUACUGUGCCAAGAAAAGUCAAAAUAUUAGUUAAUCAUGCUUCCAUUUCCUCCAAACAAAAAAUGACUCUGAAGAUUAUGUCUUUCCCCUUGCAUAACAACACAUGGAAUUACUUCUACAAACCCAGCUAGUGUGAGCGACAAAAUGGAAAUCACAGUACAUAAGGAAAAGAAUUAUGCACCGUGUAUCAACACCCAAGCAACUCACAUUUGUUAAAGAUGGACUUCUGUCGCAUAAACAACAAUAACAUGCAUUCAGGAUGUUGUCCAUCGUCAUUGAAUGAUUAAAUCACACACACACAUAUGCUAGUAGGUAGCGCUCUUAAAAAGUGAGUUUAUUCCUACAUAUAUGUACUAGUGACACUACUCUUGAAUAAAAUUUCUCCUUUUGCAAAAAGUAGUUUGUGCAAAAAGAAGCAAAUGUCAUGUUUACCUGGUCUGCAGAAAUGAUGCUUGCUAGGAGUUUGUUCUAAUGCCUAUGUGAAUAGAACACUUUUAUUUCUUGUUUUCUUUAUACUGAGAAGAAACCUUGUGAAGGUUUAGGGAAACAGAAGGGCUCACCAACAAAAGCCACUAAAAAAGUUUAGAAUAAUAUUGGGGAGGAUCAAGUGCAAGAAUACAAAAAGUUUAGAGUUGAGAAAGCGGAAAAGUUCAUAGGCCUCUCAUGUUCAAAAACACGUGCCGCUGGCCACUAGAGAUGUGCCGCCGCCAUUGCCCAUCCAAAACCAUAGUGCAUAUUGAGUUUCUUUGUCAAAAGCUUGCAUCGAUGGCUAACUCCAUACUAUUAUUUUACCUACUAUUAUGCUAAUGUUGUACUGGUGCUCUUGCUUAUUAAGGCAUGCAUCAAUAGUCGAUCUUGAACUGGAUGUGCUAUUCUAUGUUCGGUGACUGGAGCGUUUCUUUAAUGGAUGUGUUCUUUGGCUGAGGAAGUCAAUGUUAUGGUUUUUCAUACUUUCAACAAAAAAUAUCUAUAAGUUCAAAAUGUAUAACCCUAUAAGUUCAUUGAAAAAUAGAAACAAAAAAUAGUGCAUGAGCAAGUAGCCGCCCCGCAUUGGACGUCAACGUUAUGUUGUUUUCAUACUUUCAGUUCACAUUGUAGCUUUUUCAGUUCAAUGGAUUCCAAAAAGGAAACAAUUGUGGAUGGGUGAUGAAUCAACUUCCUGUACUAUUAUGCCAUGAGCAUUGGACAACCCCGACCACCGGCACCACUGCUUCCCGACCUCCUGCUUGCAUCGCCAUCUCCUGGUGGGGCUCUGCCGCCGGAGCACCCUGGCCGUUCACAGCCACCACUCCAGGCCAUUCAACGCCACCACCCUAGGUCGUUCAUUGCCAGCAGCACCCUGGAUCCCACCCCUCACCCUAGGAGUUUCAGUUAUCGAGUGAGCUUUUCAGUCCAACUUGAGCUUUCAGUCCAUGUGUCGCUUGUUGUUGUGGCCGGUCUCUAGGUACAUAGAGAUGUUCCUAUUCAUGCAUGUAGUGCUGCUCCGUUAAAUCACUUGUUCAUCUUUUUUGUUACAACCACGCUGGAUGCCUAGUAAUAGUAGCUUGCACUAGCCUAUACAUGAGUAUCUCAAGCCAUUGUUAAUAGAUGUGAGUAGUACUGAUUGUUUUGAUUGAGUUGGCGUCUUUCACACCAAGUUUAGGUUCCAGAUUGCCAAAAGUUCGAAGAUAGUGAGAUGGAUGGGAAACUACCAGACAGAGAUGAUAUUGGACAAAGCAAAAUUAGUAAAAGAAAGAAAAUGCUAGAAGUUCAACUAGGGUAACUUAAAAAGUUCAUGAAAAAUAAAUAUAGAAGUUCAGAGAAGAGGGUCGGAAAAGAUUUGGGAAAAGACACACACCAAAAAACAUGGGAAAAGGUCAGUUCAAAAAAACUUGCCAUAAGUAGUUAAGAGUUUAUUUGGAGUGGUUAGCAAUUCGGUAACUAGAAAAAGGACACAUCAGUUCAAUUCUACUUGGCAGAAGUAGUCAAGAGCUUAUUUGUUGUUGUUAAAAAAAUCAAGCUAAUUUUCUGUAGUUCUCAGGUUAGAAAAGGUCUCAUUUCACUUUGCUAAAGUCCAUCUAGAAUCUUGGAAUCCUAUGUGGUCUCUGGCAAGGUAUGCACAGAAUGAUAUCUAACUCGAUGAGUGUAAUGUGUUUUCUCACUUCCAGGCCUGGGGAUGUUUUUUCAUUUGACAUACUUCAAGUAUUUUGUGGGGUACAUCCAACGACAAUGAGCAGGCGACAAGUGUAUUGAUGAGCAGCGGGACGGUGGCAUGGAUCAGUUGAGUAGGUGUGCGUAGUUCAAGUUCACCAGUAUUUGUAAAUGCUGGUAGCAAUACUAGUAUUUACAAAUUUGUAACCUAAGAACUAAGCUUGCAUAUCGUUACUUCUAUGGAAGCACUGACCUAGUAAUAUUAUUGGACCAACCACUAACUUGAGAAUUAGACAUGGUGCUCAGUGUAUUCUCUCAAUCUUGGUUGUUCUUGCAGUGCUUAUAAGCUUGAAAUCUUUGAUGAAUCCAGCCCGAACUAAAGCAUGUCGGUGAGUCAGGUGCUGGGCCAACCACUGUCGUUUGUCUACCUCCUUCCCGGUGAGCCCAUGCUCUUCUGCUCUUGACGCUUGAGCUGCCUGCAAUUCUUUUCUCUGUUCAAAAAUUCCCAAAGCAUCAGCAAUUCUUUUCUCUGUUCAAAAAUUCCCAAAGCAUCAGUACUUUGUAUCUGGAUACACCAUGUUUCUGCAAAUUUCCAUUAUGCUUGUAUGUACAAAAUGUGUGCAUUUACUACUUUUGAUUUGUUGUAGUGCAGAGAAGUUACCUUAUUGCGGGCUGACCUGGAGGUGGCUCCUCCAUGUCGACACAAUUAUAGGACCAACGUGCUACUGACCACGCAAGCUUCCUCAAGGAGCUCGUGCCCAACGAUACUAAAAGGAAAAACUGCUCCAGUUUUGAACUACUUAUUCAGUCAUGCUAUUACUGAGUGAAAAUUGAGCGAAAGUGUAUUGCAAUUGAUCUCUCUUAGACCCUGUCAAUCCUCUAUCUAUCCUUUCUUUGCUUUUUUGGUCUGUAAUUCAAGAACUUUGACCUUCAUAAUUCGGUUUUUGGUUAAUUUGUUCUGCCCAAUACAAGCCAUUAAAUCUGAAGAGGCUUCUAAUAGCAAGAAAAUGUGCAAUCGGUGUGGUGUAUAUGUCAUUCAUGUAUGAAAAUUUG